AAAAAAUUAAACCUUGAUUUUCUGUGUCCAACUUUAACGGUCCGUCUUAUAUAAAUUUUUUUUAUAAUUUGUAUUUUCAUUGUUGUUAGAUGAUAAAACAUGAUUAAUAUUUUAUGCGUGACUUGUCUUUUUAUUUUUUUUCAUAAUUUUUUCAAAUAAGACGGACGGUCAAACGUUGGGCACGGAAACCAGGGUUUGUCUUUUU
rnacentral:pre_miRNA from 1 species